rnacentral:ncRNA from 3 species
UAAAACGACUCUCGGCAACGGAUA